UGGCGGCAGGCCUAACACAUGCAAGUCGAGCGGUAACACAAGGGAGCUUGCUCCUGAGGUGACGAGCGGCGGACGGGUGAGUAAUGCCUAGGUAUCUGCCCAGUCGAGGGGGAUAACAGUUGGAAACGACUGCUAAUACCGCAUACGCCCUACGGGGGAAAGGAGGGGACCUUCGGGCCUUUCGCGAUUGGAUGAACCUAGGUGGGAUUAGCUAGUAGGUGGGGUAAUGGCUCACCUAGGCAACGAUCCCUAGCUGGUCUGAGAGGAUGAUCAGCCACACUGGAACUGAGACACGGUCCAGACUCCUACGGGAGGCAGCAGUGGGGAAUAUUGCACAAUGGGCGAAAGCCUGAUGCAGCCAUGCCGCGUGUAUGAAGAAGGCCUUCGGGUUGUAAAGUACUUUCAGCGAGGAGGAAAGSUCAAUUGUUAAUAGCRAWYRGSUGUGACGUUACUCGCAGAAGAAGCACCGGCUAAMN
rnacentral:rRNA from 1 species